rnacentral:rRNA from 1 species
GCAAUACGAUACCCCGGUACGUCCACGCUGUAAACCGAUCAAUACUAGGUGUGCGGGGACUGACCCCCUGCGUGCCGGAGUUAACACAAUAAGUAUUGCACCUGGGGAGUACGAUCGCAAGGUUGAAACUCAAAGGAAUUGACGGGGGCCCGCACAAGCGGUGGAUUAUGUGGUUUAAUUCGAAGCAACGCGAAGAACCUUACCAGGGCUUGACAUCCUACUAAUGAAGCAGAGAUGCAUUAAGUGCCCUUCGGGGAAAGUAGAGACAGGUGGUGCAUGGUUGUCGUCAGCUCGUGUCGUGAGAUGUUGGGUUAAGUCCCGCAACGAGCGCAACCCCUAUUGUUAGUUGCUACGCAAGAGCACUCUAGCGAGACUGCCGUUGACAAAACGGAGGAAGGUGGGGACGACGUCAAAUCAUCAUGCCCCUUAUGUCCUGGGCCACACACGUAAUACAAUGGCGGUCAACAGAGGGAUGCUAAGCCGUGAGGUGGAGCGAACCCCUAAAAGCCGUCUCAGUUCGGAUUGCAGG